rnacentral:lncRNA from 1 species
AAAGUACUGUUCUCUGUAAUUUUCCAAAUUGCUUUCUUUUUUUUCUGACUGUACCACGCUUUAGACUGUAUUUCAGAGACCACCGAUCCGUCUAAGUGCCUGUGGUUUGCCAGGAGGGGAGCGGUUCAGGGAGCACAUGGUGAACAGUCCCAUGUUAACAAUGAGAUGAGGGAUGUUUCAGAUUGAUAGCACACAGUCCCUCAGAAACGACAGUGUCAGAACAAGUCUCCCUGAUCGUAAAUCUUCACAGCGGUCUGAACGGAGCGCAACCGUGCUUUUCCACUGGUAAAAGUCCCUUGGGAAGAACAACAGAAACAUGACUUUCUGUGGUUAAAAUGACCUUGAAAAACAGAAGCCCGGUGGAUGCAGAGGAAUAUAUCUCUCAAAGUGCUUGCAGGAACAAAUCAGCCACGGAGAGGCAACAAAUGAAAGAGAAAGGAACAACAGAGAGGGCCAUAAAGAAACCUCUUGAAACUCAGAGGUGACUGUGCCUGAAAAGUGGUGGCACUCUUCCCUUUUAAUUGCAAACUGCUC